CCCACCCCCAUGAUCAUGGGAACCAUGGAGCUGUAGUUUAGGUGGUGCUGAGACCUCCUGUUCAGCUCUCAGCUGCCUUUAUGCAGUGUUGUAGAGCUUGCUUUAUGCCACAGUCAGACCAAAUGUGACAGAAAAACUGCAUUGGGCCAACCACACCUGCCAAUGGGCUUCCCAGUAAAACCUCAGAAGAUGUCCUGACAAGCUCUGCCUGACAUUUUUGCCUCCAGUUUCACAGUGAUGAUGACACCACCAUGCUUGCCUCCCUGGGAACCUGGCAGAAGAACCUGACUGUGCACAAAGGUAUUGACAGCUUUCUGUUGCUAAGUAAGAGGUGUUUCCAUUUAGCAGACUGAAAGUGGGGCAUUGCACCAAUCUGUACUCGUAAUAAAACGGAACAGUGCAAACCAGAUUUUCGCAAUUCUUGUAAUAGCUGCAACAUCCUCUGUGACUGAAAGGAACUUGGCACAAGGAGAGCAUUUGAAGAAAAAUUGUUUAUAGCAGAGUGAUGAACUCUCUCUUGCCCACCAUUGUUGCACUAUACAAUCCCACUAAUUCCUGUGACAUAGUAUGAAUGAAAUGCCCAAUACUGGAUUACUUUGACUUGCAUAAGAACUAUACCAUGCCAUAGGGAAUGUCCAGAAUAGGAGUAUCCAACUUUCCAACCUCCAUUCUUCUGUGCGUAAUUGACUAUAUGUGUAACAGGGAAAUAUUUCUUACCUUCCUCAGACUAUUUUAAUGAAACACUUUCAUUAUAUUGGUGUAACCAUGUGCUUGUAUACUCUUUUUUAUUAGAAAACAGAUUUCAGUGCUAAAACAAUAAUAAUGUUCUAAAACAGCAAUACUGGCCCAGACUGAAUAUUUGGUUAACUAAAAGGUGAUUUGAUUUUCAGUGUCAAGAUGUUUGGAAUGUGAUGCUGAAUCAGAUAGGAGAUGAAACAUGCUGUGGUCCCUGUAGAAAGUGUCACAUUUUUCUGCACAUCCCCAGUGGUGGUGGGUUGCACUGAUUUUGGUUGAAGAGUUCUCUAGACCUGCUGGAUACUCUGAAACAACUCUGCGUGUGAUUUAAAUUUCUGCCCAUGUUGGGAUGAAGCAUGCUGUGCUAAUAGAAUUAUCUUCAGUGAGCAGUUAUUUCCCAGGUGAACAUGUAUGGUUUAUAGUUGUAAAUUACAGUGUAAUUCUUUCUUAUCAAUCAGCAAGUGUUGGUAAAUAACAUGACUUUCCAAAAAGAAAGUCAAGGCAAGAAACAUAUGUGGUUUGGGGUUUCUUUUCCUCCUGGAGGCCUGUUCAGCAUGUGGCAGCUGACUGACUUUCUGUGUUUUUGUGAUGUCUACCUGGACCUGAAGGUAGAACAUCCACCUGCACCUGCUGACAGAGCAAUUUCC